UCCCUCACUCUCUGCCUCAUUUUCUC
rnacentral:piRNA from 1 species